AUACUUACCUGGCAGGGGAGAUACCAUGAUCAAGAAGGUGGUUCACCCAGGGCGAGGCUCAACCAUUGCACUUCGGUUGUCUGACCCUUGCGAAUUCCCCAAAUGCGGGAAUCUCGACUGCAUAAUUUCUGGUAGUGGGGGACUGCGUUCGCGCUCUCCCCUG
ensembl:snRNA U1 U1 spliceosomal RNA